rnacentral:lncRNA from 1 species
AGGUGGUAGCCUUACUGAUUCCACCUGGUGGAUAUCCCAUACACAGGGAAAGGAAUCCUCCUUGUCCUGUAGCCACUUUUCUUUAUAUUUACCCCUUGUCUCCUCCACACCCUCUCCCUUCCACACCAACAGUUUCUGGUGCUGAAAUGUUCUGACUUCAGAGAGGCCUGAAGGAAGUGAGUGACGACAGGAUAUCCAUGCUGAGAAACUGGGAGCAUGGACAUUUGGAAAAGAAAUACAGGCUUAGCAGCAGUGGAGUAAGCAUCUACAUGAAGGUCUACUAUUGCAAUGGAAAACAGAUUACUAAAUGUAGCAACUGGCAGUAUACUCAGCUCAUCCCUGGAAUCACUCUACCUCGGGUAACAGUGAGGUAUCAAGGAGGUAUUUUGCUCUUUCUAUGAAAUUUUUGAGAAGAAACUUCCCGUAACAUCUGACAAGACCACGCACCACCCCCAGAAGAGCUGUUCUCAUCCAGAUAGUGGACUCAUGAGCACGAAGGAACCUCUGCUCCUCUGGCUCAGGCCACAGCACAAAUCCACUCUGCAGAGGGUGCAAUAGUGGAUACCACUGCUCAAGGCAGCAUAAGGAAACGCUAAAGAAAUGCAACUUCUUUAACAUUUCCUGGCCCCUGGAAGUGAGGAUUGGGCUUUCAGGGGUCAUUCUAAAGGAGGGUGGUGGGAGAUGCCUUUUGAUGCCCAAGGGAUCGCAUGUCUUGUAAAAAGGGUGGAGGGCAGUAGGAAGACAGGAAUGGUGCCAGAGUGUCAGAGGCUUGUCUCAUCGAUGGCUGAUUGAGCAAGGAGUCUUUGUAAACCUCUCCUAGGCACUUUGUACUCGAAGAUGAGGGAUACACAGUCACUGAAGAAGGAGGCUGAUCAAACUACUCUUACCAUGAAGAAGAUACUGUGGAUCUGUAACCCAGCAGUGCUGAUUAUUGCUUGUAGCCUCUUUGUUUUGUAAAUGAACACAAAAAAUGUAGUGUCCUCUUGAGAUUUAGGGUGCAGCUCCAUGUUAAGGAUCCUUCAUUAGCGGAUCCAAAAUACCCUCUCUAUACCCUGUCCCUGCUCCCAUGCAAGGGGGCUGCGUCUGCUGCCAUGCCUAUUCCUAGUGUGACCAAGAGUGGUGAAAAUAGGUAAAUUAUAGCAAGAAGUGCAUAAAAAAAUAGAUAGAUAAUAGGAAAAAAGUGCUUCUUUAGGACCAGGCCAUUCUACGUCUCUGUGUUAACUGAGCUGGUGCAAAGGAGAGGGAUAACUGAACUUCCUAGGGGAUGGGAGGUGGCAGGGAUGAGUGUGGAUGGUGGGGGCAGGGGCAGAAACUUUUAACAAAUGCUGCUGCCAAAGGACCGAAAACAUCAUAAUCCACUCUUAAUUUAUUGGGAUGGAUUUCGUCUAACUCUACUAAAAAACAGGUGUGCAUAUGGACACUGGGCAUGUCUGGAGAGCGAGAGCCCUAUCCCAUGUAAUAAAUCAGCUUCUUGCUGCUGAGAUGCUCUUUCU